rnacentral:rRNA from 1 species
AGCACUUUCACCCGCGAGGAUGAUGACGGUAGCGGGAGAAGAAGCCCCGGCUAACUCCGUGCCAGCAGCCGCGGUAAUACGGAGGGGGCGAGCGUUGCUCGGAAUUACUGGGCGUAAAGGGCGUGUAGGCGGCCUUGUCAGUCAGGCGUGAAAUCCCCGGGCUCAACCUGGGACGUGCGCUUGAUACUGCAGGGCUUGAGAGCGAGAGAGGUAAGCGGAAUUCCCAGUGUAGAGGUGAAAUUCGUAGAUAUUGGGAAGAACACCAGUGGCGAAGCGGCUUACCGGCUCGUUUCUGACGCUGAGGCGCGAAGCGUGGGAGCGA